GGUUGUAUAGUGUAGCGGUUAGCACGUGGGAUUUUGACUUCAUAUCAGAAUCAUGUUCUGCAAAGAACUUUCCCGAGUCCUGGGUUCGAGCCCCAGUACGACCU
rfam:Marssonina brunnea f. sp. &apos;multigermtubi&apos; MB_m1 unplaced genomic scaffold M6_S00001, whole genome shotgun sequence.